UUUUUCUUGACCAUAAAAAAGUUCUGAAAGCCAUCACGCACACUCAAGUACAUGUCUCUCCCAGCAGCUGAUAGAUUAGGGCCAUGCAGGAUGUCAUCCGCCUCAACACCCAUGCAAUAUAUCAACGUAUUAACUUGAUUCUCCUCUGAACUUACAUUCUGAUUACUGGCCAGGCGAAAUCUUUCAAAACGUCGGAUCCAUGUGUCCCACUCAUGCGGCUUAGAAAAGUCGAAGGACUCUGGCGGCUGGAUAUUAAAGGUAGCGCACUGCCCCGUAGUAGCACUCUGUGUUGGCACAGCGACAGCUAGCCACUGGCUCACGUCACUAGCCUCUCCACCUUGGCUCAUUACGUCCUCCCGACGGUGUACAAUAAUCUUCCAGAACGGGUCUAAACUCUUAACGCAAACUACCAGACUUCUGACACCAUGUCGUGUAAUUAAAAUACUGCGUGAGUCCAACUGUUAGUUCAUUUAACGGUGUCUAAAUCGCCGUCUUUAUACAAAAAACGCUGAAAAAAGUGGCGGAAAUCCCAUCAGAAGGCCACAUUAUACGCCGUCUUCAUGUAGUAUUUCAGAGUGCCGUAAAAAACGUUUUUUUAAGGUUAUUGAACGCAUCACUGAAGCACUUCUAGCGCGUUGUCAGAAUAGUGCAAAAGACGGCGCAUUUGACAGUUCAAAACUUCACUAUUUACGGCGUUCUGUGACUUUUUCAGCUGCGUAAAAGGCGCCUUUUUAUUUUUGAUUAUGCAGGCCACUCUCAAAGGUUUUCUCAGCCACUUAUUUUAAACUGCGAUGGCCCAAUCCACAAAGAGAAAAUACAGACAGUACUAGUUCAUCCUAGAUGCUAUUUCCUUCUUUCCUGAAGAUGCUACUUUCUGCUUCAGUUCACCAACUAAACCGUUUUUAGUUUAAAGACGGCAAUUUAGACACCGUUAAAUACCCGAACGUGUUCAAAAGUGGGCAAUUUGUGAUCCCAACAGCUUGCCAUAUAUAUCUGGUUCAUUAGAGCGAUACCUGUGUUGGUGUGGGCGUCGUUUAGGAAGUAGUUACGUGACCGACACAGCUGCUGUGUCGAACUGUGUUUAAAUGCAGGAGCGUCUCCUUCUGUCAGCGGGAUGAGUUUCUGCCACAAGUACAUCUUCUGAAGCAAAAUACUGUUGAAGGUUCUCAGUCAUCCAGGUCAUGGUAAUCCAAAAGGGUUUAAAUGAAGGCAACAGGACUUCUUUGGUUUCUUGAAGACGUUUCUCUUCUCAUCCGAGGAGCUUUGUCAGUUCUGACAAGAAUAUGGGAUAGUCAAGCUUAUAAGCUGUAGCUGUCUGUGUUUGUUUAACGAGCAGAAACUACUCUUGAGUACCCCUCCUCUCCAUCCCCUGAGUCGUUGGCCUCUUGAGAGGGAGUCAUUGCGUUGAUUAGAUCCAGGAAGGUGUAACCUAGACUGAAACUGCUGCUGCAUUGUAGGUACUGGAAAGGUGAAAUCUAAGCGCCUUCCUUUUUUAAAGAGCAAGUCACAUCAAAAUCAAACUUUUUUAGCUGAUAACCAGUAUAAAUGAGUGUCUAAUAGUGUUGUAGACAUGUGUAGUUAUUAUUUUUGCAUUUUGAUGCAUUUUAUUUAAAAACUCUAAACUCUGUCUGAAAACGUCAGUCUAGCAUCCUCUUCAGCUCAAAAGUAUAGAACACGUUUAUUUUGAGUCGGUUUUAGCCAAUAGCUAACGAGAACAAUGCUACGUAGUUAAGAAAAGUACUACCUAGCAGCUCUGUGGCUGUAGGUUAUAAAAGCACCGCGGUCUCAACCAGCUUUGCAGCAGUCGGGGCUCAGAUUAGCCGCAAGUGAGUUGUGCAGUUAGCAUUAGCAUUGUGUCCCAGCAAAGCUUCUAGUAUUAUAAUUAUUUAGUUCUAGUAGCUUGGCUGUUAAUAUUGUGGUUUAGUGAUUUUCACACGACUCUUUCACCAGCUUGAUAGAGUUUGAACCAGGUUAUGCUGGUUUGAAGAGCGUUUCACAAAUUAGUCCAAGCCGUUCUAGUAAUUAGCCGGAUCUCGCCGAUUGCUGCUUCCUCUAAACGGAGAUUUUGGGCCCAAUCAGAGGCUAGAUCUGCCCAAUAAAUCUGCUGUCCUCCACCAGCCUGCACCGGUCCAGGCUAGAGCCUUGCAGCCUCCCAGCAGCUGUGUGUCUGACACUGGGACCGUGAUGGGAAUUCCACCCAGACCAGCUUCUACACUCCUAACAGACCCAGGUGUGGUGGAGAGCUUCUGAGCAGCUUCCAUCUGAAUGACAGGACAAGCUCUAUGAACUGAUCCAGGCUAAAUGAACCCAAGUAAUCUGCUGUCAGACUGAUUGUUCCAGCUACAAUUGUUCCAGACUAACAUGAAGCCUUGCAGGUGUAGUAAAGCUUAUUGCUACACGUGUGUUGCUGCUGCGAGCUUGGAGCUAGAUUACAUCAUGACAUCAUGAAGGAGGCUACUGAUUCUGGUCCUGUGACACUUGGUGAAGUGUGAGCUGAUUCACCUGCAAAAUAUGGACGCUACACCAUGAGGCAGGCACAUGUUAAUACUCUAUAAGAGCACAUAAGCAUGAGGAUGUCCUCACACACACCUGUAACCUAUCAGCUCAUCUGGCAGAAUAGAGAGAAGAGACAACACCACAUCUCCUGUUCCUGGAAAGCUUUCAGCCAUCCUUCGAUGACUGAGAACCUCCAUCAGCUCUGUCUCCUGUCUGCCUACAAUUAUUAUAAUAAAUAUUGUGCUUGACAAGUUUUUUGUGCUGCCAAAUAUCUCAUUUUGAUUCCAGUUUUUAUAUUUUAAUGGAUAUUUAUAAAUUACAUUAAUUGAAUUAUCACAUUGUUGCAUGUUUAACUAGCUCUAUGGUGAUGAAUUAAACUAGCACCUCACUGUUAAAAGCUUGUUUUAAACUCAAGUGUGUUUAAAUAUUUAUGGACAUGAACAAAAACAGGAAAUAUAUAAAUUGAGAUUUAUUUAAAAUAACAAAUAACUGUUUAGAGGAGUAAAGAGUCAUUCAAAGGCACAUUCUUCUGGAAGCUCCUGAUCCUGACGACACCACCAGAGACCACCUGCAGACACCAGAGGGUCACCUACGACCAAGAGAGCAGCUGGUAUCCGUAAAUAAAUAAUGAAAUCAGGGCAGUUUUAGUGGGCUGUUUGGGAUUGUGUAACAUAAAUGAACACAUGACAUUUUUUUUUUUACCCACAAAGAUUGUCAAGAAAGCGUGUUAUGUUCAUGUGAAAUUAAACUGAUCACAAAACACAGAUUUACUUUCUUUAUUGGUGUAUUCACCUUUAAUACUAGUUAUUAAAAUGCAGCAGUUGCUGGAUUGGUGCAGUUCAAAGUGAAGUGCAUCAAAUGAAACAGUAUUAACAUAAAGGUGAGACAUGUCAUAAUUUAGCGUAAAGGCUGGCACUGCCAUGCUGAACUACCAAGUAUAGGAAGUGUUCACUCUUUUAAGGGUUCAUUAUUUAUAGGUUUUAAACAGAUUUGAGACAUUUUAAUAGGUGUUUACAAAGAGUCCUCAGACCUCCCCUUUCUUAGAAAAGCUUAUUUCAGUUAAUAUGUGAAGUUAAACUCAUUUGUUAAUACUGACAUAACAGCUAAUAAAUCAUUAUUAAAUUAUCAAUUAGACUCAUUUGGUGUAUUUAAGAUGUGAAAUAAUGCUUUUCAAUAUGUUGACAAAUUCAUUACUGUAAAGCAGUCAAGACAUUAUUAAAGGACCCGUGUGUGAAAUUCACAGAAAUCAUAGUAAAAAGAUCCGACUCUUUAGCACCACGCAGUUUAGAGUCGGUAUUGCAGCUAUUGGAGCCCCC